rnacentral:rRNA from 1 species
GACGAACGCUGGCGGCGUGCUUAACACAUGCAAGUCGAACGGUAAGGCCCUUCGGGGUACACGAGUGGCGAACGGGUGAGUAACACGUGGGUGAUCUGCCCUGCACUUCGGGAUAAGCCUGGGAAACUGGGCCUAAUACCGGAUAGGACCACUGCCUGCAUGGGUGGUGGUGGAAAGCUUUUGUGGUGUGGGAUGGGCCCGCGGCCUAUCAGCUUGUUGGUGGGGUGAUGGCCUACCAAGGCGACGACGGGUAGCCGGCCUGAGAGGGUGACCGGCCACACUGGGACUGAGAUACGGCCCAGACUCCUACGGGAGGCAGCAGUGGGGAAUAUUGCACAAUGGGCGCAGGCCUGAUGCAGCGACGCCGCGUGAGGGAUGACGGCCUUCGGGUUGUAAACCUCUUUCAGCACCGACGAAGCGCAAGUGACGGUAGGUGCAGAAGAAGGACCGGCCAACUACGUGCCAGCCGCCGCCGUAA